UACGAAGGGGGCUAGCGUUGUUCGGAUUUACUGGGCGUAAAGCGCACGUAGGCGGAUCUUUAAGUCAGGGGUGAAAUCCCGAGGCUCAACCUCGGAACUGCCUUUGAUACUGGGGAUCUCGAGUCCGGGAGAGGUGAGUGGAACUGCGAGUGUAGAGGUGAAAUUCGUAGGUAUCGAGAGGAACACCGGCGGCGAAGGCGGCCAACUGGACGAAUACUGACGCUGAGACUCGAAAGCGUGGGGAGCAACAGGG
rnacentral:rRNA from 1 species